AGUCCCACUAUGCACUGCCCCUGGGCCGCAAGAAGGGGGCCAAGCUGACUCCUGAGGAGGAAGAGAUUUUAAACAAAAAGCGAUCCAAAAAAAUUCA